GUAAGAAAUUACAAAAAGGCAUUCUUACUGCAUAAUUCUUAAUACAUGUGUUCAGUUGGUCACCGGGUUUUAUUAAAUAAAACUGUUAUUAUCUCACUGUGAUUUUAUGACAGGGCUCUCAUUGUGUGCUUUCAGCAGGUAGCAAUUUAUGCAAGUCCUGGCUUAUUUGUAAAGCUAUCUUUAUCUGUGCUUUUUUUUUUAAAAGCCUUCAUUAUUCUCUAUGAUAUAUUGAAUUCUGAUUAAAGUGUUUUCUGUCCCACACAAGGAGACUUUGGGAGAAUUGUCAGUGCAUAUAAUAAAAAGAGUAUGUGGAUACUUUCAACGCUGUGAAUAAAGAGGACUCAAGUCAAGUCAUGCUGAGUGUGUUCCAGAGAGUUUGCUGGUUUCUGGAGGUGGAUGCAGAGAUGCUACAUAGAUACUCCGAAUGAUGCCAUCCUUUUCAGCAUUCUCCAUCUUAGAAUCAACUGUGUUUGUGUCCUUGACUGGAACAUGUUCCACUGUGUUGUCAGAGAUUUCUG
ensembl:lncRNA